rnacentral:pre_miRNA from 1 species
UUAGUACUCCCUCCCUCCGGAAAUACUUGUUAUAGAAAUGGAUGCAUCUAGACGUAUUUUAAUUCUAGAUACAUCCACUUUUAUUCAUUUCUGCGACAAGUAAUUCCGGACAGAGGGAGUACUAG